rnacentral:rRNA from 1 species
AACCACCUGGGGAGUACGAUCGCAAGGUUGAAACUCAAAGGAAUUGACGGGGGCCCGCACAAGCGGAGGAACAUGUGGUUUAAUUCGAUGAUACGCGAGGAACCUUACCUGGGCUUAAAUGUAGAGUGUAUGAGGUGGAAACACUUCUUCCCUUCGGGGCUCUUUACAAGGUGCUGCAUGGUUGUCGUCAGCUCGUGCCGUGAGGUGUCGGGUUAAGUCCCAUAACGAGCGCAACCCUUACCGUUAGUUGCCAUCAGGUAAUGCUGGGGACUCUAGCGGGACUGCCACCGUAAGGUGAGAGGAAGGUGGGGAUGACGUCAAAUCAGCACGGCCCUUAUGUCCAGGGCUACACACGUGUUACAAUGGCCGGUACAAAGGGCAGCUACACUGCGAAGUGAUGCUAAUCCCAAAAGCCGGUCCCAGUUCGGAUUGGAGUCUGCAACCCGACUCCAUGAAGUUGGAUUCGCUAGUAAUCGCGCAUCAGCCAUGGCGCGGUGAAUACGUUCCCGGGCCUUGUACACACCGCCCGUCAAACCAUGGGAGCUGGGGGUGCCUGAAGUCUGUGACCGA